rnacentral:rRNA from 1 species
UACGUAGGGUGCGAGCGUUAAUCGGAAUUACUGGGCGUAAAGCGUGCGCAGGCGGUUCGUUGUGUCGGCGGUGAAAGCCCCCAGGCUUAACCUGGGAAUGGCCCGUUGAAACUGGCGAACUGGAGUGUGGCAGAGGGGGUGGAAUUCCGCGUGUAGCAGUGAAAUGCGUAGAGAUGCGGAGGAACACCGAUGGCGAAGGCAGCCCCCUGGGCUAACACUGACGCUCAGGCACGAAAGCGUGGGGAGCAAACAGG